GGUACUACCCUUCGUCUGGGGUUUGUUUCACAGUUUUGCCACCGCCAUUCUUGUUGUUCUUGCUUUCCAUUUUUCCCUCACCAUCACUCAUUUGCUUCACUCUCUUUCUCUCUCUUCUUCUAUUUUGGUUUUUACUGUUGAUUCUCUCUCUGUACUUGCUUCUUCUUUCAAUUUGGUUUUCUUCUCUUUGUUCGCCAUUGAAGCUUUCAAUUUGGUUUUCUUCUCUUUGUUCGCCAUUGAAGCUUAUAUUAGGGUUAUUUUGCGGUAUUCCUGGAGAAAUUCACUCGGGUUUGAAGGUGUCAGUGAGUUGGGUGUAUCUGUUGUGAAGAAUUUUGCAUAU